rnacentral:rRNA from 1 species
GCCGGCAGCUAGCUCUCUGCAACUCUCACAUUGUUGCCCACUGAAGCUAAGCAGGGCUGCGCCCGGUCAGUACCUGGAUGGGAGACCACAUGGGAAAGCUAGGUUGCUGCCAGAA